GGGACUCGGAGACCGACUUGGA
rnacentral:misc_RNA from 1 species